GACCAUCCUUGUGGGUCACCUGCCUUCUUCCCUCCUCCACUAAGACCAAGGACUUGGGCUGGCCCUAAGAUCCUCCAGAGAGAAAUUCUAUUGAAUGAUUGUCCAGUGACACCUCAUUGAAAAUCUUCCAGAUUGAAGAAUGGUAGCAGAAGAGGAAGAUAAGUUUAAAUCUGAAAUCAGCCUUAAUACUGCAAGGAAAGAAAAUAUAAGAUCACAGACAGUGAUUCAAUAAUCACACAUCUACCAUAUCUUUCAGUUUUUUGAAUUCUUACAUUAAGCCUGGUGACUUGAACUUAAGGAGAUAUAUGUAAUAAAUAAUGUUCUUCCUCAAGAAGAUUAUGUCCAAAUCAAGGAAGAGGACACAGAAAAGGAGUAGCAAUUUGAUGUGAAAAUGUAUGAAAAUGGUGAAUGACUCACAGGAGAGUAGAAUUGCAAACUGCUCCUCAGCGUUGAUUGAUUUGAUUGUGGUUCUAAAGCAUGAAAAGUGAAGAGACAGUGCAAGAGAAUAUUCAGGUGAUAUCAGGGCAGAUGGCAAAUGUAGUUAGGGCCAGCUAGAUCUAGAUAUAAAGCUG